rnacentral:rRNA from 1 species
UACGGGGGGAGCAAGCGUUGUUCGGAUUUACUGGGCGUAAAGGGCGCGUAGGCGGUCAGCACAAGUCAGUUGUGAAAUCUCCGGGCUUAACUCGGAAAGGUCAACUGAUACUGUGCGACUAGAGUGCAGAAGGGGCAACUGGAAUUCUCGGUGUAGCGGUGAAAUGCGUAGAUAUCGAGAGGAACACCUGCGGCGAAGGCGGCUCACUGGUCCGGUACUGACGCUGAGGUGCGAAAGCGUGGGGAGCAAACAGG